AAAAAAUUGCUGUUCUGUGUUAGGCACUUCCUCAGAGCCAGAAGUUUAUCCCCCGGAAGUUUUAUCUCCCUGAUAUAUUUGUGGAGUGAGUGCAAAAAAGAUUCUUAAGUUCUGUGCUUCUGAUUUGCUCCUCCAUCACCCUGCUGCAUCAUCAUAAACCCAGGGGUCACCAGAAGGACCCACUGGGCUCUACAUGGGGCUGGUGGAGAAUAAUGUGGAGCAGACAGCAGCACGUCCUCCUCAUCCCCUCAGGGAGUGAGGGACUGAAGGGAAGUGAGCGUGGGCACAGGAAUGAAUGCACACAAACUUGCUUUCAUUUAAUUUAGCCAGGAAACAAUGCACUUCUGCUCCAUCAAAGCACUGAGAUCCAAAGGCAGUUUUCAGCAGGAAUACUGGGACGACUUCUUUCCAGCCCUGGAUGGUUUAUGAGUUGAGUUUAUUAUUGUUUCUAAGGGAUAUUAUUUGAAAUUCUAGUAAGGGAGUAUACCAAGCAGUCCACAGAUCUCAAGUCAUACAUUCCUGCUAGCAACCCAGAGAUGAAAAGCUUGGAAAUGAGUCCUGAACUGUUUUCUGGAUUUCUUGGCAUCAGGAUAAUUCAACUGGGAAUGUCAAGGGUUUUACUAAAUAGCUGCUGGAAGGACUCAGCAGCUGAAAACCCUGCUUCAGUCAGCAAACCAAACAGUUUAAUGGGCAUCACAUGAAAAGCAAAACCAGAAGUUAAUCAGAAGCAAAAUAGGAUGUCCUGACCGGGAAUUCAACCCUGCCCCAUGACAGUUUGGUAUCACAUCUGCAGCUGAACUGCAGAGCACAUUUUACCCCUAACUCUUGGGUGAACAGAAUCCACUGAGCACUAAAAAGGUAGGAACAUUUUUCCUCACUUCUGCUUGGGUCUGUAACAGUACCAUGAGCUGAGGUCUGCAGAAGAAAGAAGUCUGCCUUUUUUGCUUUAGAUUUCAUUAUUUUCAGAGAUUUUUUUUUUUUGAGUUAAGUAAGAUUCUUUUAUUUCUGGAGUAACCACUUGAUAAAAAAAAAAAAAGACAAAACCAAACAGAAUAAAAUUUGCCUCCUAAAAUCAUACAUUUCUGUAAGGUCACAUCACACUACGUGGAAGCAACUCCUAGUAAGAUCAAUUCACACAAAUUACAUGCAGGGGAAGAAAAAAAAAACAACUAUAAAAGCAUUGACUCUUAUUGUUGCUCUCCCCCUCUCCUGCACUCCCCAGGGCUUGACAUUUGUUAAUGGCUUUUCUUGACUGAGUCGUUCUUCUCUCAGGCAGUCUGGGAAGAAGUUCAGCUUUGUCCUCCACUGUGCCCAUGCAAGGACUCUCAGAGGGAGGUGCUUGGAAGAAAGUGGAAGGAGUUUUCCAGGGUCAGAGAGGCUGAUCCAGCUGGGCUGAAGCUGGGCUUGUUUGUGCCAGGAAUCCUUUUGGGAAGCAGACUCACAGGAGGCCUGGACCAGGAUGCAGAACUGCUGGUGGGGUCUCACAAGAUCAGAGUGUAGGAGGAAAAUCAGCUCCCUCAACUUCCAGUUUGGCACUGGAGUCCUCAAGGUUUGGAAGACAUCCAGGUGAGGGCAAGGCCACCAGUGAGAACUGGCUGUGCUGACCCCUGGAGAAGUGACCCCAUGGAAGCCACCAUGAGACAAAAGAGCACUGAGUGAGUACCUGGGGGAGGUCUGCACAGGGAAUGGAAAAUCCCCCAUUUGUGAGCUGCUGCAGGCUGGAGAUACUCAAGUGUGGGAAGAGAAACAGGGACCAGCCUCAAUGUCCACUCCUCACUAGCAAGAAUCUCCUUCCCUGUCAUGGGAUGAGGACUCAAUCUCAGCACUGGGCUUAGCUGGAGAUUUUAGACAUUGCUUAAAAAUAGGGAAUGAAAAGUGUUCAUGUGCACGAAAAAGGGAAGGAGAGAUCUGUGAAUUCUGAAAGGCACUGCUUGUGGAAAAGAUACACCCCAAGCUGGCAAAGCCCCUCGAGGAGAAAGUGGAAUUUUCCCUACAUAAACAACAAUGGUUGUAUGUGUUUAAAAAAAAAAAAGGAAAAAAAAUUGGGAUGCCAGCAGGCAUAGAGCCCUGAUGAGGAAGAAAAGGAGCCUUGUGCACAGGACAUUGGGGGAACUGUUCCAAACCAGUCCAUCCUUAGGCAGAGAUGUCCCUGCUGGCUCAGCAGUGGCUCCAGGGAGGACUGGCUGUGGGAUGGGCAGUGUGGGAGAAGGGGAUUUGGGACUCACUCCUGGCUUCAGCAAGAAGCGUGUUCCUGGCAUCUCCCAGGGCUGGCACUCAGGGUGGGGAAAACAAACAAACAGGUCUGUUCAAAGGCAUGUAGGAGGAAUGAUAUUUCUCUUGGAAGAGCUCUGCUUCUUCCACAGGGCAAAAGAAAAAAAAAAUCACCCUGCAAGAGAAUGAGAGCUCCCUGUGAAUGGCAGGAAGCUAAAUGGGAGAACUGCAUCUGCUGGAUUGUUCUUUGCCUUCUGUCAGGGGGAAAAAAAGUUUGACAAAGAAAUGAAGUUUGAUUCAAGAUACAGCAGGCCAAAGACAGGCAGCCAAGCAGGAAUGGGUUUAUUUAGCUCCAGAAUCAUAGAAUGAUUUGGGUGUGAAGGGAUCUUAGAGCUCAUCCAGUUCCAACCCCUGCAUGGGCUGGGACUCCUUCCACUAUCCCAGCCUCGAACAUCCAGAUGAAGGAGAAGAAUUAUUCUCAGUGCACCAGACUUUUAACCUGCAACUAUUUCAUGGAAAACACUUUCCUUCCUUUCUGCACUUCACUCAGAUGGUAAAGAUGGGAGAUGGGCUCUGGAAACCCUCCUGUGGCAGGGCAACCCCACCCCAGACCAUGCAGGUGAGCUGUACACGGAGCAGGUCAGGAGCUGUCGCUCCAUCACUGCCCCCCUCAGCCUCAGGAGGAUGAGUCCAACCCUGCUUUCCAGAAGGAAGGACAUGGCCACCAGCUUUUCAGAGGGAUUGCAGGUUUUACCCCUCUGUGUGUUGCCUUUGGCCCCUGGGAUGGAGCCCAGGGGUGAGCCAGCCCCAUACACACUGGUGGUGGGAUCUCCCUCCAUUCCCAAACCACACGAUUUUGGCUCAGCUUGCUCACCUCCCUCUGAGCUCUGGAUUUCCCUCCACAGCAGAAGGAAUGCUCAGACAAACCUGUUUUCCCUUCUGGCUCUGCUCAUAGUGAAGGACAAUAAGGAACAAACAGGUUUUGGGUAUGCAGGUUUUAGAGGAAUUGUAUCAGGACUUCUGUAUUUUCUCUCUCAUUUUAGGUCAUGAUGCAGAAAACCAUGGUAAACAUUCUAUAUAUGGGAUUUUGGACAAUUUUUCUCUCUAUGUACUCAGCAGCUGGGAAAAAUAUUUUCCAACCCCUCCACAUUUUGCAUAUGCAGAGGUUUCAUUAUAUUUGUUCUACUUGCUACUCAUAUUUUGUUGAGUUAAUCAUUCACCUCAUUGUAAGUGCCAAGAGAAGUAGAGACAGAAGGAAGAAAAAUGUCGAGCUCUGAUGCUUCUUCCCCAAAGCACAGAAUUACUUAAUAACUCCUUUAUUCAUUCCCAAAAACUUAUCACUUGAAAAUCUCAAUUUGCACAGAGCAAAUUCCACUGUUACUGACCGGCAUAUCUUAUUUAUUUUUAAUAACUUCACUGAUUGUGUGGCUGCAGAGGGCACAUCACAUGGCAAGCACUGGACAUGAGUUCCUGGCUACCUUCCCCAAAGGCUGUGAGCCCUAGGGUGACUUUUUCAUUCUUCUGGCUUACAGGGACACCUUUUAUUCCCUCUUUAGCCUUCUGAGCAUUCACGUGUCUGGCAUAUGAAUGUUGCUGCAGUCACAUGGUGCUGUGAGCACAGGGGGUUCAACUUGUGCUCCACUUCACAAGAGGAACAAAGAGAGACACAAGAUAAACUCACAAGGCCAAGGUCUGGAAAUUCUUUACCCCAUCGAAAUUUGGGUCAUCCUUGGAAAAGGCAUCAAAAGAGCCAUGGAAGAGAUGGGAAUUAGAAAGAGAAGGGUUGAAUUCUGCAUCCAUCCCUUUGAUCCUUGGCAUGUUAACAGCCAGCAGGGCCAGAAAUUCAGGGCUGAGAAACCUCCAGGUUUGCAGAUAAUGCUGAGUAGUUUCAGUAGCCACAGGCCAGAGGGCUGGUGAGAAACUCCUGGAGGACCUCACAGCACACAAAAAGGUGGCAGGUGAGCAUCAGUGUAGGUUAGUUUAAAGAAAUCCACCCAAGGAAAAAUAACCCAAGCUGAGUGCAUGUGAUGCUAAACUUGGAAACUGUAGCUACCAGGAAAUGGAUCGCUGACAACUCUCUGAAAUCAUCAGCUCAGUGUGCAGGGACUGCCAAAAAGCCAAAAAAGUAUCAGGGUACAGAUAAAAGAGCUUUGUUCUGCUGCUGAGCACAACAUUGGUGUGCCCUCACCUCAGAGCCUAGGUGAGGUGCUGGCCUCCAGUGCUUGAGGACAAGUCAGUAGAGAGUGGCCAAGGGGGCUCCUUGCUUUUGGGCUGGCCAAGAUGAGAAAUCCUAAAGUGAGAAGGAAAAGAAGCAGGCAGGGUGUCCCUUCCAAGAGGCUGAGCACCGUGAGGGGAUGGGGGUUCCACUUGGGGAGCCACCAGCAGAGAGUGGCCAGGUUUGCUCAAUCCUCCUGGCACUGGUGGAGAUGAAGGAUAAAGCACUGGGAUAAGUGAUCCAUCAUCUGCCCCAUCCUCACCUGCAGCCGCUGUGGCACACAGCUCAGACCUAGGGCGAGUAUGAGAAUGAGGAGCAGCUGACAGAUGUUUCCCAGAAAAGUCCCCUGGACACUGAGCAUUUGUAGCUCACAGAUUUCCCAACCCAGAGGUGGUGUUUUACUUGGGAUGGAACUCUACUUUUUUCUUUUUAUUUUGUUUUUAAUUAAAAAAAAAAGGCAAAGACUUUGAAGUCAAACUGUUAUUAGAGGUGAUAUGCCAGCCAUGGGGAGGUGCCAACUGCAAGACUUUAUUUUGACUGCUGUCUCAUGAGGAAAGCUGGCAGCUGGGAGCACAGAGAGGCAUGUCCCGAAGAAGGUGAAGAAUUCAGCCAGACUGCUUUCAACAGCCUCUUUGAUGCUGGGUGGCUGAGAACACAGAGCAGGGCUUUCUGUGUGUGCUGUGACAAAAUAUCCUUUAAUGAUUGUCUUCUGGGUCACCCUGGGCUACAGCCUGAACACCUGCGUGGACUCAGUCCAGUGCAGGAGAGCAGGUUUUCAUGGGAUGGCUCACACAGAACCACUGAGGUUGGAAAAGAUCUCCAAAAGCAUCGAGUCCAAGCUGUCCCCUAUCCCCACCUUGUCCCCAGCCCAGUGCCACAUCCAGGGAUGGGGACUCCACCACCCCCCUGGGCAGCCCUUUCCAAUGUUUUUGCUUGAAUAUUUUUACUUCUGCCAAACACACUAGCGUGGGUUACAUGGAUCAGGAUACUUCUACUACCAUGAAAUUUCUUUUUUCUGCUGGGGUAAGAAAAUAAACAACUUUCCUUUAGCCUCUAAUUUGGAACCUGCAACGAUCACCCACGCAAGAGACAACCACGGUGUCAGUCUAAAUAAAGAAAUAGUUCUGUGUUCAGGGAAAAAAUAAAGCUGCAAAUGGGACUUGACCAGGUUGAGAAGACAAUUAGUGCUCUGCAGCCAUGGUGUGAGAAAGGGGGGAACAAAAAUCUCACAUUCAUGACAGCCAUACUUCAUUUUCACACAAAAUAACUCCCUCAGGAUCAGGACCACACGUAGCACUACCCCUGUCCAUGGUAAGGGGCUGGAAGGGGAUGAUCUUAUCUUCCAAACCAAGCCAUUCUGUGAUUCUUUUCCUUCACAGGGACAAGGAAAACGGAGGUUGAAGGACAAGGAAAAAUAAGUCCACAGCUGUUUAGGGCUGACCAGGGGCCUACCCUCUCAACUCCUCCUAUUUAGAAAGGCAAUUUUUGGGGAAUGCCUAUUUUUGGGCAUUCCCCAAAAAACCCCAGCCCACGGUUUUUCACAUGGUGACUACAUCUAGGGCAAUACAAGACAGUUUGGUGGAAAGAUCAAGAGGUUUAGGGCCAACAUUAUUUAAUACCUGUAUUUUUCACUUUUUAAAUGUGUGGAAAUGUUCCUGCAUUUCCUGCUUCUCUGGAAGGUGGAGGGAUGAAGAAGAUGACGAUGGAGACAGCAGGGUUCCUUUGCACAGGAUAGGAACAGUUCAAGCUAAAGCUGUCUUCCCACCUGUGUUUUUCCAUCUCUUCCCCCACCACUUUACACGCUCUUUCACACCACAGAGCUGCCAGUUUUCUUUCAGAGGCAAAACACAAAGGUGUUAACUCGAAUUUCUAUCCAGAGAGAGUGGUUGCAUCCAUCUAGCUCAGCUCCAGACCACUCUUGCAGCAUUUUCUCCAAUGAGCCCCAAGCCUGGCUGGUUAUUUUCUUUCUGGGUUACUUUUUUCAUUCUGCAGCUGUUGAGGGUGGUGAAGGUUGGACAAGGAUUGAACCAACAAACAAGGAAGGAACUCCCCUGAAACUUCCCAGAUCAAAAAGCACACACAAAAUUUUCUUUUCAAGAGGUUUUAAUGAAGUCAUAUUUUUAAACCUCUCACACUGUACAACACAUUUAACUGUACAUCAAGCUCAGAUAAAAAAUAAAGCUUUCUUACAAAGUACGUUUUUCCAGUGAUUUUUUUUCUUCUUUUUUUUUUUUUUUUGCAGUAAAAA